rnacentral:rRNA from 1 species
UAACGCAGCUAACGCGUGAAGUAGACCGCCUGGGGAGUACGGUCGCAAGAUUAAAACUCAAAUGAAUUGACGGGGGCCCGCACAAGCGGUGGAUUAUGUGGAUUAAUUCGAUGCAACGCGAAAAACCUUACCUGGCCUUGACAUGUAACGAACUUUCCAGAGAUGGAUUGGUGCCCGAAAGAGAACGUUAACACAGGUGCUGCAUGGCUGUCGUCAGCUCGUGUCGUGAGAUGUUGGGUUAAGUCCCGCAACGAGCGCAACCCUUGCCAUUAAUUGCCAUCAUUUAGUUGGGCACUUUAAUGGGACUGCCGGUGACAAACCGGAGGAAGGUGGGGAUGACGUCAAGUCCUCAUGGCCCUUAUGGCCAGGGCUUCACACGUAAUACAAUGGUCGGUACAGAGGGUUGCCAAGCCGCGAGGUGGAGCCAAUCCCAGAAAGCCGAUCGUAGUCCGGAUUGUAGUCUGCAACUCGACUACAUGAAGUCGGAAUCGCUAGUAAUCGCGGAUCAGCAUGUCGCGGUGAAUACGUUCCCGGGCCUUGUACACACCGCCCGUCACACCAUGGGAGUGGGUUUUACCAGAAGUA